CUUAAGUCGGGAUAAACAUUUUUAAGAUGGGCACUACUCGGAUGGUGGUACGACUUGUCGCCGAUACACAGGACUAUUAUUAAAUAAAGAGCGGACAAAUGUUAUUUUAAUGGAAUGCCAAAGUCCAAACCAGAAAACUAUCAUUCCUGCACAUUGAAUUUUAAUCUAGUGCUGCAAUAGAAAUCUUCCGAACACUCCCAGUAAUCCUUCAAAGAUAAAUUCAAAAGACGGCUCCUUUAAUCAUGAAUAGGAAACCUAAGAAACAAAUCCAAAUAAAAAAAUUUCCUUUAAGGUAUUGGAUGUCAAACAAUUUCAGUUCGAAUUAUAUUUAUUAUGCAAUUAUUUAAAAAUAAACAGCCGAUAUAUAUUUGCUCCUUUA